rnacentral:rRNA from 1 species
UACGAAGGGUGCUAGCGUUGUUCGGAAUUACUGGGCGUAAAGCGUACGUAGGCGGCUUGGUAAGUCGAUUGUGAAAGCCCCGAGCUCAACUCGGGAAUUGCAAUCGAAACUGCCUUGCUUGAGUUUGGUGGGGGAUGGUGGAAUUUCUAGUGUAGGGGUGAAAUCCGUAGAUAUUAGAAGGAAUACCGGUGGCGAAAGCGACCAUCUACGCCAAUACUGACGCUAAGGUACGAAAGCGUGGGGAGCAAACAGG